rnacentral:lncRNA from 1 species
AAUAGUCAAAAUAAUAUAAAUAUAUUUUUAUUUGAUAAAGGGAGGAACUAUCAACUUGAAUCUCUUCCAAUAUUGAGAAAAAAUGUCACUAAAUUAAAUGCUAGUUGGUUUUUUUUUUUUUUUUUUUGGUGUGCAGUGAUAAUGUGAUCACAUUACAUACUUCACAACUCAUUUAUCUUUUUUUAUUUUAUUAAUACAAGCGAUUGGAAUAAGAGGAUUUACAAAAAUAUUUACUGGUGUUACCAAUUUCAAAUCUAUGACCACAUGAAUAAAAGUAAAAGAACUCAACCAUCUAUAUUCCAUCACCUAUAUAAGGUUUUUAUUUAUUUAUUUUUGGUAAUGAAAAGACAAAUCUAAAAACGCAUCAAGCUUAGCGGGACCUAUCUACCGCUUGUAAGCCAGAACAGUAUUUCUAAGCGAAAAAAUCUCAAGAAACAAGUAGCUAGCUCACAGGAAAAGAGUCAAUAAAAGGAAAAAAUUCUCACUUUUUUUUUUUCCUUUUUUAUUUUUUGUUUAAUGCGUGUUAGAAGCUUAGAAAGCAACAUCAUCAUCUUCACCUGCUAGUCCAUGAAAUGAAACAAACCUAACAGCCUUCUUCAACCUCACCGAUAACCAAAAGGCCUCUAAUUUACCAAAAGUUUCAGGCUUUCGAUCCUCUCGAUCUACCAAUACUAUGGCCACCAAUGGUGCCCCUCCGGUCAGCCCCUUUGCCUAUAUUUACUUGUUUUUUGUAUGUAUUUGAAAAGGUUUUGAUAUUCAUGGUGGGCAAUUGUGAAUUUUCUGUUCGAGCAGAGAGCUGCGGACGCAGAGAAUAGCUUGGAGAAGAUCAAGCGUCAUCUGGCUUCGGGUUCUGGCCGGAACUUGUUGCAGGGCCCGCUUCUCAAGCGAUCCGAGACGGUAGGAUCCCGUAGCCUCCCAUUUGUCUUUCUUUUACUUUCUUUUUUUGUGGUUUCAAACUAUUUUUUAGGAUUAGAUUUUGGUUCUUGCGAAAGUUCAGUUUCUUUUUUGUUGGGUCAAUUCCGAAUUUAGAUUCUGUUGGCGUUUCAUUGAACCGCUUGUACUGCGAAUUAGAAAAAUGAUUAGUAACAUUUUUUAAGCUCCCGUUGAUAUUAUGGAAGUUCGGUCAUUUCAAAACUGAAGUCUUUAUAAAUCAUGCUUGAAAGAGUUCUAAAUGUAAUUUGGACACUGGGAUGGUUUGGCGAGCUUUUCUUUGUAGUGCUCUUUGUUCUGGAAAUUAUUGACCUGCUGUUUUCUUUUAACAGCUGAGAAAAUGGAACGAGCGGUGGGUGAUCUUAGACCCGACAACAGGGAGAAUGGAAUACAAGUUAGUUGUGCAAGACAUUCUUACUUCAAUUUAUGCCUUAUAGAUGCAUUGCCCAACACCAUACUUUUUUAUGAUUUAGGAUUAGGAGAAAUGAACCGACUGUCAAGGGAACCAUUCUCUUUGAUGCAAAUAGCACAAUCACCCUUUCUCCAGUGAACUUCCAGUAAGAUUCAUUUUUGCAUAGUAUCCGUUUUAUAUAACAGUCAUCUGUGCUGGUUGUAAUUUCAAUGAUGGGUUACAUGAUUUCUUUUUCUGUUUUGUGUUUUCAGUGGGAUGCAAAAGUAUGAUGGCUGCUGUUUCUGUAUCCUCAUUUAUUCUCUAGUAUUUUCGUAAUGUAGAAAACAAAAUGAGGCAUAUCUUUUAACUUCUAUAGAAAACAUUCUUGUAAAUCUGGAUCGCAAUUUCUGAACUUGCAUGCUUCUUAACUUCAUUCUAUAGAUAUUGGGACCCCACAGAAAAAAGACUACUUCCUUUGUGCAGAGACUCCUGGUGCAGCUAGAGCAUGGGUAUCAACACUACAGUAAGUUCUUUCCCUUUAUAUUAUGCUGUAGUGAUUAUGUAGAUGUUAUUAUAUAUCGUACAGUUUUGUCUUUAUGCGCAUGUUAUAAAUACUUUAUAACGUCUAGGGCAGAGUUAUAUGCUGCUGAUUCAAAUGAGAAAUUAGUUAACACAUGUAAUGGAGAUUAUCGCUGUGGGUUGAGGAAAAAACAAGGGUUUUAGAAUUUGUUUUCCUAUUCUUACUAUUUAAUUUGAACUUUCCCAAUGUAGUUUGAGUUCUCUUUUAGACCGCCCAUUGCAUAUGGUUGGGCAUUGUGAAGUUCGCUUGUAGUUUACAGGCUAAAUGUAAUGGCUUAUCCAAAAAUUUCCUCAUCUUCAAGUAAUAUAUUAGCAAGUUACUUCUCUUAAAAUGUGACUUAUCAGGGGAAAAAAAGACUCUUAGUUUGUUAUGUUACUUCAGUCAAAGAUAUUAUUCAUGCAUCAUAUGGUUGAUGUAAAUUUUUUGUAUGAUGUCAAUAGAAGCCUGUGGUCCAUUGGGGAUGAAUUGGAAUAGGGUGCAUUUUCAAGACUAAAAGACUUAAUUUUCUGUUGUCAUAGUGAAAGAGGCAAUGCUUAUCUGACAAAAAUUCCACCUUUCCUUUAUUUCCGGUGUGGUAUUUGACGAAUCAUUUCCAUAAAGACCGGAUUAGCAGUUUCCAUUAUUACAUGUUUCAUCUAAUCUUGUCUUUUGCUCUUUUUUUGUUUUUUUGUCAUCUGACGCAGAGCAACACAAUUGGUUUUAAAGGCCCAUAAAGAAGCUGUGAAUUCCUUGAGUGGCAAUGGUUCUGCGAAACUGGGAACGGUUGCAGCAGUUGUUGCUGCUGCCAAUUCGACUGCUUUGGAGAGUUCUAAGGAUAUUGAAGCAGCAAUGCAUAUUUCUUUGAGAAAUGCUUUGGGAGUGAUAACGAAUAAGCCAACUGAUGGUCCAAUGGAUGAUUUUGCAAUUAUGAAGGUACUGCUUAUGAUCUAGUUAUUUACACUGCCCUACAUUCAUUUUGAAAUGGCUUUUACAGUAUAGUUUGUUAAUGAAAGGGCCCUGGUUUCAAUUGUACUUUAUCAGUUCUGUGUCAUGAGAAACAGUUUUAGAAGGUAAUUGACACCCAGUAGUGUUUAAAACAUUCAUUUGUGCACAAUAGAGAUAGAAACAUGCUACAUCAUUGAAUUUCUUCCAAACUUGUGAGAAGCAAACAUGAGGAAUGUUGACUCCUCUGCAGUCCUUCAAAUCCAAUUGCUCUUUGUGAACUUUUAGUUCACUUAGACUUUGUUUUCUGAUUGUGUAUCUCUGUUCUGUAGGAGACAUUACGGGUCAAAGAUGACGAACUACAAAAUUUGGCUAGGGACCUUCGUGCACGCGACUCAACAAUUAAAGAAAUAGCAGAAAAAUUAACUGAGACUGCUGAAGCUGCUGAGGCUGCAGCCUCUGCAGCUCAUACGAUUGAUGAACAAAGGAGAAUUGUUUGUGCAGAAAUUGAGCGCUUAAAAAAAGAUUCAGAUAAGCAGCUGGAAUCUUCCAUGUUAAAGGUAUUGAUAAGCUCUUCUUUGUUAAUUUUGUAGUGUCUUUGGAUAAGUGAUCUCCUUUCCCCCUCCACUACUAUAAAUUAUUAAUUUGGAAAAAGAAAAAAAAAAAACUAACUUUUUGUUCUGAGAGCACUUUUGAUUGUUCAACUUUUUUUGUGGCUUUUGUUCAUAUUUGUAGCUAAAAGAUUCUGAAGAAAAGGCUAUGGCCUUAAGCAAAGAAAGAGACCAAUUGAUCAGGCAGAGAGAUUCUGCUCUUCAGGAGGCACACAUGUGGCGUUCUGAGCUUGCAAAAGCUAGAGAGCGUGUUGUGAUAUUAGAAGCAGCUGUCGUGAGAGCAGAGGAGAAGGUUAGGGUUGCAGAGGCAGAUGCUGAAGCUAGAAUAAAGGAGGCUGUGCAGAAAGAAUCAGCUGCGCUGAAGGACAAGCAAGAGCUCCUGGUCUAUGUGAAUAAGUUGCAAGCACAGCUUCAAAGGUUUAGUACCUUCUGCCUUUUACCCAAUAUAUAAGUGGCUUGGGGAUUAUAAUCCUUUAGUCCCUUAUUAAGAUAUCAUCAAUAUUUUAUUAAUCAACCAUUUCAUGUUGACAGACAUCACAUUGAUACGAAGCAAGUGUUUGAGGAGAAGUCUGAGUCUGGCAAUACACCCCUGACUAAACAUGUAGACUUGUCUGAAGAAAAUGUUGAUAAAGCAUGCCUCAGUGUUUCUAGAACAGUCCCAGUACCAGGGGAGAGUGUAGUUCACAUGGCUGGGGAUCAGGUCAACCACCGGCCAGCUGUAGAUGGUGAAUGGAGUGACAUUCAGGCUCAAGAUGCAAGGAUAGCUGAUGUAAGAGAAAUUGCCCCCGAGUCAGAAGCAAGUAGCUUGGAUAUUCCUGUUGUUAGCCAACCAGCUGGUAACCAACAUGAACAAGGAGGGAACUCUUUUCAUCAGCCUUGAAAAUGAAGUGAUACAUUUGUAGAGCAGAAAACUUGGAAUUGUAGGGCGUGCGGCGGACUAUAUAGAAGUCAGUUAUAGGAGAAAUGUGAACUUGGUGUACUUUUUAUACCCUUUCAUUUAUCAAAUUGAGGUCUUGGCAGCCUGAUUCUGCAUGGAUCAGGCUAGGCGUCUGUAUGCGCCGCAUUGUGUCGAAUAUUCACAGAUAAAGAAAACACGUGCUAGGCCCAUCUUUGUAUAAUGCGUUCCAUGUGUUCCCGCUGGCCACGUGCAAAAAUUUAUCCUGAUUGUGUUCAUAUUGUGCUAUUAACAGAGGGUUUAUACUUAUGUGGAAGAAGUAUCUUUGGAGCUUCUUCCUAAACUAUCUAUCAUGUUUCUGAAAAGAACCUAAGUGGAAUUUUCUGUGCAACAAUCCGAACAUUUCGUUUUCCCCAACUUGUUCGUUUUAUUAAUCUAUUUAUUUACAUUUCUGUGAGUUUUUUAUCCUUUCUGCGAGCAGUAUGAGAAGUUCUAUGAUAUUGAAUACUGAUGGUGGUUUUUGCUUUUUGGGUAUGGUGUGGUCAUUUACAACCAUAAAAGCAAACCCCACAAGAACUGUUUCUCAAAAGACAAAGAAUAUCCAAAAUUUUGGAAUCUAACUUAUAUGGUUAAACCUCAUUAAGUGGAGAGAAUCCGCAUUGUAAUUGGGUGUAUGCACCCAUAUCUCUAUGGAAAUAUUUUUGCUCACUACUGUUGAGGCCUAAAAUGUCACAAGAAGCCCAAGAAUGUUUAAAGCCCAAUAUAACAUAUAAUGUUGAUAAUGCGUCAAUCCAAGCUAUAUUUUGAGAAUUUAUCCAUUAAAUAAAUAUAGAAAUAGUGUACGUGUCAUGCCAAGCAAAUAAUACAUUUUUCUAUGCUAAAUCACCCAACAAGCCACAUACAUGCAUGAGGCUUGCUGAGAGGGUUGUGGUGUGAAUGGUUACAAGGAGGCCCAUCAAAAGGUUCAAGAAAUGGAGGUUUUUGGGCUGCUUGGGAGCACCAAAAUCCAAGCCCAUUUGUAUUGAGCCUAUUGAGUGGAUAAGCAGAGAGCGUGUCUUCUUCCAGCCUUUAUUACCCGAUCUCCAAUUUUCUACCUUAGAGCACCAGAACCACUACCAGUCUUGCUUCAGCGACUACUACCCAACCCCCAACUGCCCCGCACUAAAGCCUCAGUCAUACUUAUUGUGUCACCAACUUGAGUCGCUCAUUCAUCACCUGCUUGAGCUUCAGCGGCUAUAAUCUCACUGCUGGAAACCAUCAUUUUCUUCUCCCAUCAACCAUCAACCAUCUUCUCUCUUUUUUUGUUUUUUUUGUUUUUUUCCAGAAACCAUCAUCUUCUUCUCUCAGCAACUAUCCUCUCAUUUUCCCAAAAGCCAUCCUUUACCUUUUUUCCAGAAACUAGAAGCCAUUCCAAGUUCUAAAAUAGCCUUGAUCCAAAACACUGUUUCAAGUCAGGCAGACGCUCUUGCUAAACUCGUGGAGACUUAGCUCCCAUGCCAAAAGUCACUCAAGCCAAGCCAAAAUUUUAGUUCAUAACAAUCAUUAUCAGCUUGGUGAUAAGAAACCAGAGUAUUCCCUAAGAAUCAGCAUUCUUUCGGGGUAUUUUGGGGCCUAAUUCUUGAACUCAGGCAAAGGGGCAAUGUCACUCUCUCUUUACAGCCGCCCAAGUCCACAUAGAGCUAUUGGAACAAAAAAAUCCCCAUAACCACUUUAACCCAAGGUGUACCUUCACCAUCAUUCUCAACACUUGACACGUGUCCAUGGGCCUAACUAUAGUUAACUUUUUACUUUGUAUUUAUGGAUCAUGGUUAUGCUCAUGGACACAUGUCAAAUGUUGAGAAGGAUGAUGAAGGUACACCUUAGGUUAAAGUGGUGAGUAAAAAUGCUCUCAUAUCUCUAUAGCACUCAUCACGUGAUAUGUAUGUAUACACCAAGUAAUUAUAGUGUUGUAGUACAGUAGUAUGGUCAUGUGGUAUAAUUUGUCCACAUGUUAUAAUAUAAGUGGAUAUUUAUUGAUACUAUUCUGUAAAAGGAGGAAAUAUCAACCAUGUCGUUUACCCAUGUUAUAACACGUGUACAUGCUAUACCAUGUAAUCCUACUACCAUACUAUUAUAUAAUUUCUCGUAUGCACACAUGUCUUUAUAGUGCCCCCCAUGUGACAUAUAUACUUUUUUUUUUUUAACAAAAGGAUUAUGCGAGAUUAGCUUCUCAGUAUCGGUCAUCAGAUGCACAAACAUCCACCACCCUUAAAGAGGGGACCAACACUCCGAAAGCCCCCCGCCCGUCUCCUUGAUCAUAAUUAUUAAUAAGAAACAAAAAAGAGAUACAAGAACAAUGGGGGACCAAACCAAACCUUGAAGAAGAGAAAGACAAUGACAGAAAUGCACAACAACAUGCUGACCUAAGAGACCAAAACUCUGAAAGAGUAAACAAAAGAAAUUAGGAGAACCUGUAAUUAGGCAUGCCCAGCUAGUCCCGCUGACAAAAAGGCAAAAUAAAAGAAGGUGCAGUAUCCCACCAAAUUAAACCAGAGUCCAAAGCACCAUGAUUUGCCAAAGCAUCAGCAGCACGAUUACCCUCACAAAACACUUAUCACAUGAUAUACCCAUGUCUUUAUUGCGUUCAUGUGUGCUUAUAGAGCUCAUACUUAAUCCAACUCCUCGAUUCAAUUCAUCCUCAUCUCAUUACAUAGUAAAAAAACAUGUUUACAACAAUCUAGCAUUUGACUUUGGCACACUAUAUAUUAUAGUAUAUAUUGAUAUUUUAAAAUUAUAGUUAAAUUAGUAGGUAAAUCAAGGUUUGUCACAUUCUUAUUUAUAUAUAUACGAUAGUCGCUACAAUUUUAUUACUGUAUUUACCUACCAUGAGACAGAAAAAGGAAGGCUCACAGAAAAGGAAAAAAAAAACAAAAACAAAAGGUUUGAGGUGCACACCAUCCUCCAAAUAUGCCUAAUCUAUACAGUCAUAAACUUGGGAAAGAUGGAUCAACAGCCAGCUGCACCACUGGUCUCAGCUCAUCCCAGUUUCCAUUUAUAAAGAAAUCGUUGUCGCUUGGAAUAUCCCUCAAGCUUGAAUAAGAUGUUGCAUAUGGAGUCUCCUCUACAAAUUUAAACCACUGAUUUGUUUCAUCAACUUGUUCGUCCACACGAACUGGUUUUGAUGAUGAUCUUUCAAUGCGUUGCAUGACGACCGACUCUUGAGGGCUCACGUGUGGCUCGCCGCAGUAGUUCUCAGAUUCGAAGCUGCAUGUUUUAGAACUUGAAUCGGUAGGGUUUUGUUUGGUGUUGCCUUCUUUCCAGUCAUCUGGUGUGUACUUUUUGUAAGAUGGGAUUCGUUUGAAAAUUCUGCAGAGUGUCCAAACUUCCUGCAAACCAAUCACGUCAUUCAAAAUUGUGAUUAGCUUUCUGACUUGCAAAUAAUUAGACAAUUAACUUAAUGAGGAGAUAUAAUCCAGCACUAAGAUAACUAACUCCACGCAUGCAUAGGGUUCGUAAUGUUCUCUUGCAACAAUUAACCUAAUUAAUGUAUGAGAUUCAGGUAAAUAUGUAUCUUAAUUUUGUUGCGCAAUAUUAUCUAUAAUAUAACAUUGCCGUCAAUCUAAUACAUAUAAGCAUCUCAUGUUGCACCAAUUGUUUUCUUGUAUCGAUCCAGUGUUUUCACAUAUCAUACUUGUCAAUGAGAUCUACAUAUAUUUAAACAAAAUUUCACUUAGAGCAUACAAGUUCACAAUAUGACAACACAACUCUAUCAAGAAAGUUUACACAUAUAAAUUGUGGUCUUAUCAUACUUCACUUGGGGCAUACGAUAAAUUUAACACAUAUAUAUACAAAAUUUGAGUCACCUAACUAAGACUAUAAGGCCAUCUCCAAUGUUAAGACCCCAAAUUCUUGAUCUGGGUCCAAACCUAUGUUAGGCCUUCUCCAAUGCCCUAGAAACCCAAAAUCCAAAUUUACUUUUACUCAUGUGCAUCAAUUAGAGCAAAAAAGAAUUACAAAGCCUUUAGGCACCACCAUUUUUAGACUCAUAUGAGAGUUUUGGUAUGAAAAUUUGGGUAUUACAUUAGAGAUGCCCUAAGAAUUAGGGAAGAGACUUACAGCUUCUUGUGUAAUGUCCUUAGCAUUGAGGAAGUUGGUAGUUUUCCCAUGGCCGUGAGGUGGAAGGCGAAACUCAUUCAUCAUCCAAUCAGUUUUGGUGCCUUUGCCAGCACUCCCACGGUAGUAGACUAAUGAUUUCUUGAGGCCAAUGCACUCGAGGGGCUCUUUCACUGAAUAUAUGGGCUUGUCAAUGCCAGUCGCUUUCCAAAAUCCAGAACCCGUCACUCUGUUAGGCCUUAUGCUGUUCCUGUAUUUUCUCCCUCUUCUGCAAAAGAAGUAGCACUCUUUAUCCCCCACAGUGCUUACUUCUUCAUUGUUACCCGAAAACAAGCCACUCAUGAGAGCAAAUUAUAAAUUAUAAUAUAUAUAUAUAUAUAUAUAUAUAUAGGUUAGAAUGACACAUGCAUGCAAUGAAGUUGGUCAGUUAUAUAUCUACGAUGAACUCUUUGUGUUUUGUAUGUCUCAACAUGUUUUGCUUAACUUAAUAGGAGAUAUAGACUCAUAUGCAAAUAGUGUUUGUUACGACAACUUUUAGGACCCCUAAUCAGCGGAAAAAGUUACAUAAUUCAGAGUGAUGGGACAAUUGUGUCUACAACAUUCAUCUCAAUUGUUCCAUCACUCCACGGCAUGUAAAGUUUUUUCCUCUUAACCAUUCCACGUUGUCCUAGCUAUCUAGCUAACUAAAUUAGGUAGGUAGCUCAUUUUGUUCAACUUUUUCUUUGGAAUAAAUUAUUUAAUAGCGGACUUAAAAUUCAAAUUAAAGUGAUGAUUACACAACUAACUAGAACCCUAAUUUUGCUUCGGAUGGAGAUUUUAGUUUCGAUAAGCAGACAGUUUGCUGAGUAGUUUCAUUUCCUAGCAUACAUUAAAAAUACCUAUAUAUGUAUAAAUGAUUGCUAUAAGACAUGCAAAACGCGCAGCCUCCUCGUAUAAUUCUCUCUUUCUGCCAUACCAGGUGUACUGUAAAGAUCUAUCAACUUCAUAUCUGAGAUAUUAAUCCAACAUAUUCUCAAGAUUUUUGCAUACAUAUUUAUUCACAGAUACACAUAUAUAAUCAACUGAAAAUCAAAAAUUAUCAAGGGUGGUCUUACUUGGAAGAUCCCAAGGAUCAUAUUUGUAGAUAUCAAUCUGUUUAAUGAGCUCCAUGCUAAUGGGUUUCUUCUCCACCUUCUUCUUUAAAUAAAACCCAACAAGCUCCUCAUCAGUUGGAUGAAAUCUAAACCCUGGAAGCAUGAUUUCCUCAUCAUCCUCCUUAACCUUCUGAUCUGAAGAAUUUCUCAUCACCUUCGCCACGUCCAUCUCUCUCUCUCUCUCUCUCUCUCUAGACUCUACUAUUCUUCUCAGCGCUAUAGUAUCAAUCUUCUUAUAUAUAUAGAGUAAAUAUCUUAGUUAAGUUUCUCCCCCACGAGAAUUUAAAUUAAUUAAUUAAUUAAAAUAUUAUAUAUAUCGAUGUUUCAAGCGGUGGUGGUUGCCUCAGUCAAGUCAUGGCAUGAUCGAAAAGGUCUUGGAAGAAGUCUAUAUCUCAUAUGCUGGUCCCUCUGACUCUGUCCACAUGCAGGAGAGUUCGAGUUCCAGCCUUUGACCCAUUUUGCCCACUUUUGGCAAUCUCCCAUUUUUGUGGUGUGGGAAUUUUUAAGUUUAACACGUGGAUAAUAUAUAUUAGGUGAUAUAAAGUAUUGUGUCUUAUUGGGCUUUCACUCAUGGGCAAACCUGCUCUAAUACUAUAAGGAAAGUUGAAAUUCCACCCUAAUUCCAAUUAGCAAUGAGAGAAUAAUCCAACUCCUCAUAAGCCCUUAAAAGAUUUUUAACUUUUCAAUAUCGCAUUCAUAUUCUCACAUUUUCUCCUUCUUUUCUUCUAUUUCUUCUAUUUAAUUAAUUAGUCUUUCAUAUACUGAUUAUGUGUGACUAGUUGUGAUUUGUGGAACAAUCCUGGGUAGGCUUAGAAAAGGUAAAUUAUUAAUCAUGGAAGGUAAAGAACAUGUGACAUGCGACUUUUAGAAAUUUGGGGAUAUGGAUCAUGUAAAAUAGUUUAAAAGUCUACCUGAGUGGGCAUCUCCUUUGACUAAUAUAUUGGCCACGUACCUUACUCUUUUAUUGGGACAAUUAAUUUCAACGAGAAGCUCAGUAAACAAUAUUAAUUAUUGCUGGGGGGAGAGAUAUUUGACCCAUUUUAAUGCAUCAAAUAGAAUUAUGUUUGCCCUCCUAUAUAGACCAGGCCAUUGUCCACUUUGGAAGGGGGAUAAUUCUUGUUCUCUUAUGAUAAUAUAGUUUUUUUUUCUUUCUACGGGAUCUAACUCAGUGAAAAAAAAUUUAUUAUAAUUUUAUGUUAUAUUUGAUACAGUACAUGAGGACCAUAAUGUUGUAUUUGCAUUAGCCAAACUAACUCUUUUAACUAAUGAUAUGUUUCUUCUUAAUAUUGAAAGAGAUUUGAAGAAAAAUAAUAAUAAUUUAUUUAUAAACUAGGUAAAAAUAUUAUAUGUGUGUGAUAUAAUAUUUCUUUAUGAAUCAUAUAUACAUUUUUAAAAAAAAAAAAUAUUAUAUGCGUGUGAUAUAUUUUUUCCUUCAUUAUGUUCUCUUAUAUUUAUCAAUAUCAAGAACUUAUAAAGAUUUUGUAUGUUAUUUUUUCAAUAGAAUGCUGUAUAAUUAUAUUUACUAAUUGCAUUGUUGAUAUUUAUUCGGUCAUACCUUUCUUCCUUACAUAUACGACUUUCAACAAGCAUAAGAAUUGUCAUCUCACUAGCAUCAAAAUUUGAAAGGUGAGUUUCGUACAAAAUUAAAUGCGGUCCGCACACCGCAGAAUUGUCAUCUCACUAGCAUCAAAAUUUGACAGGUGAGUUUCGCAUAUAUAUAUAUAUAUAUAUAUAUAUAUAUAUAUACGCAUUGAAUUUGAUAGAGAGAGAGAUAGAGAGACGGUUGAAGUGGAAGGCGAUAGGUUUUUAAUGGCCAGACUGAGUUUAAGUUUUCAAGUCAACCAUGCAUGCAAACGUCAACAAUUUUAUUGAUACUUAAAACCAAAUUAUUGAAAAGCCAAAAGUCCAAGUCCUUGAUAUAUUUGAGAUUGUAGGGCAGAGAUAUAGUCAGGUCUUGAAGAAGCUUCUUCUUCGAGACAAGCCCCAAAUUGCAACUUACACUUCUUGGAAUAGUCUUACCUGCGACGUAGUCUUACCUCAUCAAUACUACGCCGUUUUGCUUUAAUCUGUAUCUCUGAACAUGUAAAACAAUGUUAUGCUAAGAAUAAUAAUGUAUGAAAAAUGGGGCUCCAAAUUAAGCAUAAUUCCAAAUGAAGCUCACGAAACUAACAUAACUGAAACUCUAAAACAAGUCAAGAGCCUAAAUAAACCCUAUCUAUAAAUAUGAAAAUGAAUGGAAAAAAUGUGUCCACAUAGAAUACACUAAGCUUCUAGUAUUUGUGUUAAAUCAUUGUGACAAUUUCUUUGCAAGGAGAAAUGAUUGGGCAUUUUCUUUGAGAAAUGUAUAAUUCUAGAACAUUUAGAAAAUACUCAUGAAGGUACGUACGUACGUAGGUAGUUUACAAACAACUAGAAGAGGCGAUAGCAUAAUAAACUCACACACACAACACGGAUGCUAGGAUUCGAACCCAAGACCUUGCCUGAGAGAGUAAAUACUCCAAACCACUACACUAGUAGGUCCUUUGCGUGGUAGGCAAUUUUUAAGUAUUUAAACAUUAAGCAAAGAUGCGUAACAUGUGGGGAGAAACCUGACCAAAAGGAAGGAAAAAAGUAAUGAGUAUGACUAAGACCAGUUGAAAAUCGCAUUCCCAAAUUUCAAAGGUUUUUGUGACCUAAACUAAAUUUUCUUUUGAUUAUGGUUUGACUGGAAAUCAAAUGUCCUAUUGGGUGUAUAUUUGUGACUUCCUGUAGAAAAUGAUGGUGUUUUUUUUUUCUUUUUACAAGAACAAAGAACAUUAUAAGAAUUCAUUGAAUAUAAUUUUCAUUAAUGGAGAAUACCCAAACUAUGGAAAGUCUCCUCUUCUCCAUGUCUAGCCAAACGAAGAAAUGACAAAGCAAUUGGCAAGUCAAGCCUCAAGUGGCCCUCCCUCUCUCUCUCUCUCUCCAGGCAUGCUGAAAAGCUAAAACGUUCAACUAUGUGGAGCUAAUGAAAUUGCUUAAUUUCUUGCCAAAUAAAACAAAAAAACAUGUACGUUAUACAUUGACUUUUAGCAAUAGCAUGUCUGUUGGUUUCAAAAUCUACCCUUCACUUUCUUGCUUUCUUUAAUCCAAUGGCCCAACUUGUCUCAUUUUGGUGAUAGAUAGAUAACAUGCAUAUGCAUGCAAAUUAAACGCGUCGCUUUUUGUGAUAAACAGGCCAAAUGGAAAUAAUAAUUAAUACAAUGGAUUUUCUCAUCUCUAUCUUUGAGGAUAGAGUGUAGGGUUGGGAGAGAAAUAAUGUUCUCUAUUAUAAUUAUAUCUGCAAUAUUUUAUCAAAUAUCCAGAACUUUCCCAGGGUUCCCUUAUAUGUGUGAAAACUGUGUUUCUUGUUUCCUCUAUGGGGCCAAAACGACCGAAAAAUUGUACUGAUCCUGCACCCACAUCAUAAAUGAUUUCAUAUGCGUGGACGCUGACCCUAUACACUGCAAACAAAGCCUUGCAGUUUUCAAACAUGCACUUGUAAAUGGCAGUCCAAUAAUUGUCGGAUUACAACUCACAAAGUCAUAUUCAUAACCAAAGUCAUGUAUGUAGUGCUUCAUUAUAAGUAGUUUCAUUUCAACCACACAUCGGCUCUUGCGAAGCCUAGUAGGUGUGAUGUUUUAUCAUAAAAGGUCUCGGCACUAUUAAUGAUGGAGAACCACUUAUUAUAUAUGUUUCAUAUUAUUUUGUUAAGUUCCCGAUGUUAGACUUUACAUUCAUCAACGUCAUAAACAUCAUUUUGUUUGUAGUAGAGAAGGGAAAAUUCAUAUACAUGUCACAUCAUAAUCAUUUCGGCAAUUCAAACACCCCAAGCUGGAGGACUUUUUUCCAAGAUGGCCUGUUGCCGAUAUCAUCCCACCAAGCAGAGACAUGUUUUCUGUCCCUGAUCAUAUGCUCCUUCCCCAAAUCAGCCACCAAGUGCUGGUUAAACGGAAGGUGGCUAAGAUCAGCAAGGCUGAAGAAAUCACCAGCCAAGUACUUGCUCUUUGAGAGCCUCUCCUCAUAAAUGUCCAACACCUUCCCCAGCUUUGCUUCGCUCUCUUGAAUGAUCUUGGGAUCUGAAGGAAAACCCAACGCUGAGGCAAGCAGAAUGUGAACGACUAACUUGUAGACUGGAGGGUGGAAUCUUUGUGCUUCAACCUCUAGCCAUUGUUCCACAAGCCCUCUUUCCUCAAUUGUCUUUCCCAGCAACUCAGUACCCUGGGACUUGAAUUUUUCUGCGUAGUAUCUCAUGAUUGCACGCGAUUCUGCACGUCAGAUUAGAAACCAGUGAACAAGUUUGUGUAUGUCAAACAAAACUCUGUAUUCUUGCUUCCCAAGCAUUCCAAUCGAAUAAUGUUAGGAGAUAAAUAAUGUAACAAAAUGCAUGUAAUGUUAAUUACUUUGGUCCCAAAUUAAAGACCAGAAAGCAGAAAAGGCAGAGCAUACCAUACAGGGUAUAGUCCCCAUCUUGAAUGACAGGAACUUGUCCAAAGGGCUACACAUUUAAAGACAAAGCAAUCCAAAGAUCAAUAUAUUUAUAGUUUCGAAAGAGAUUAUUAUGAGUAGACCAAUCACAAUUAACAAGUGACUUAAUAAUACUAGCUAAAGCUAACCUGUAAUUUGAGGAACUCAGGGUCCUUGUGCUCCCCCUUGAAGAGAUCAAUGGGGAUGAUCUCAAAGUCGAUCUCUUUCUCCACAAGGCAAGCCAGCACACGCUGUGGGGAAGCGUCGACGGAGCCAUACACCUUCACCACCAUUGUGAAUUAGAAGAGCCCGCAGUCUGCACAUUCCAGCUUUUGGUUCUAAGUGGUGUUUGGUUGGGGCAAUGAAAUUGAAUGGUAAUGUUAAUAGGAAAGAUAAUGAAAAUGGAAUUUUGGGAUAGAAAUCCUUAUUUCUAUAUUUGUCCAUAGUUGAUGCAUAUACUUUGUAGAUUGCAGAUUACACAAAUUUGGUUUUUUAAUUCACAUCACACCCCAAAUGAAAUGCAAUUACUCAUUACUGUUUUUCUUUUUCUUUUCAGUUUUCCCAAAAUUAAGAUUACAAUUUACAAACUUUCUUUCACACAUCAACUAUCCAGAAACUGUUUCUUCAUCAUAAUUCAUGACUUUAUGAAUGACAUAAAUAGAUAAUAGAGAAAGGUCAAUGAAUGAUUGGAGAUGAUAUAGCUUAUAAAUGUCAGGUCACUCUUCGAAAUGAUGGAUUGUUCCCUAGCUUAUACAUGACAAAAUAUGGAUCUUAUAGAGGUUGAAAUUUAGAUUCCUUUUGGGAGUGAAAAUUCUGGCGGGGAAAAGAGAGAGAGAGAGAGAGAGAGAGAGAGAGAGCAACCACAAUUGUAAUUCUGGGUAGAUUAUGGUUCACGUUUUAGAAGGAAGAUGGGUAAGACGCACAAAGGUGUUCGGAUCGGAAUGCAUGUGCCCUCAUGCCAUGCAUGCACUAAAGUGAGGUUAUGAAAUAGCAUGAAAACAAUGCGUUUUGCAUUCAUCAAACCAAAUAGCAUGAAAACAAUGUGUUUUGUAUGUACUAAACCAAAUAUUUUUCGAUGCUGAUUUAGUAUCUUGUGUGGGUAACUUGGUUGGGCAGAUCCACUAAUAUGAGGCCAAAGUUGAAAUCAGUGAUAUGUAUGUGCCUCUCAACUGUCCCCAAUUUCUUUUUCUUUACACAAGCAAUAGUCUAAAUUAGGGGGAGAGAGAGAGAGCGAUUGAACUCGGGUGUAAGGGGGUGAGCACACUACCAUGAUCAACUAGCCUAACCCACAUGUACAAUCUACAAUAUCUCUAUAUAAGCAAUUAUUGGGUUAUAACUCAUAGGAAUCAAUUGUAAAUUUGCUCAAUUUGUUGGAGAAAAAAAAGGGUCAUAAAUCGGUUGCAAAGUAGUAUGAUCUUUUUGGAGUUCAAUUCUUCUGUGUCCAACUUAUCUGUGCCCUCUCUGUUUCCUUCUUCGUUUUCUACCACCUGUCCUCACACAUAAUUGAUAGAAAAGAGAGUUGACGGGCUUAUCUAUUAGUUAUGUUGAGUACAACAGCAGAAAUCGAAAAUGGAGACAGGGAGGACCAUAUAAAUUGGACACAAGAGAACUGAACUCUAUUGGUGCAAAGACGGAAACCAAUUUCUAAAGUGAUGUUAUUGCUCGAAUGAAAUUGAAUGCUAAUGUCAAUGGGAAAGGUAAUGAGAAUGGAAUGUUGGAAUGGAAAUCCUUAUUUCUAUUUCUCCACAGUUGAUGCAUACGCUAUGUAAUAGAUGUGAGUAUGAAAGCAAAGCCAACUAAGAGUUAAUAAUGAUCUGAUCAUCUAACAUUCACGAAAGUCAUACAAAAGCAGUUAAAGCUAGGAAAGCUACAAAAACAAAACCAGCUCAAAAAGUCCAAAACCCCCGAACAAAAUGUGAAUUGCUUUGCUAGCUUUGUUUUCAACUAAAGUUCAUCUUUAGAAACUCCAAAAAGCACCCCUCCAAACCAAGAAAGACUUUCAUGAAAUGGGGAUAAUACUAUUUUGUUAUUCCUGUCUAAUAACACUAUGUCACGUGAAAACGCGUCAUAACACUUUCACACGGCAUAGCAUUAUUGGUCGGGGAGCAAAACAGUGAUAUGCCCAUUGCAACUAAGUUUUUCUCCUCUAAACCAUUCAUGAUGCGAACAAAUUUCACAUCCCAAAAUGGGUUUGCCCACUUCUCCUUUCUCAUUUGCUCUGAUCUACUUUUCUUCUUUUCUUCUUUUCCCUUUCCCUUUUCUAAUUCACAUCACGCUCCAAAUGAAAUGCAAUUACUCAAAUUUCUAUUACCAACGAAACUCCAAGCCCUACAGAAAAAAUGUGACAUUUAGGGCCCAUUUGAUAAUCAUUUCAAUUUUAGUUUUUAAUUUUCAUUUUUUGUGCUAGAGUACAGAGGAAAAAGAGGGAGAACGGAAUUGAGAAUGAGAGUGGAAAUAGGAUUGAGAGGGAAGAUGAGAGGGGAGGAUGUGAGGGAGAAGUAACAAAAGUGAAAACAAAAACUAAAAUUUGAAAUCUAUUUGAAAUUGUUCUCCCGUUCAAGUUUUUGUUUUCACUUUUGUUACUCCUCCCCUCCCAUCCAGAGGCGGAUGCACGUUGGCACAAGAGGGGUCCCCCUUGGAAGGCUGGAAAUUUGGGAAGGGACUCCAUGAAAGCCCCCUUGGACAGCUGCUGGAAGCCCCCUUGUACGCACACCAAGUGCUCGACGGAAGUCCCACAAGACGAGCUGGAGUUGCUGUGCUGAGCCUGCGCCUUGCGCGCAGCGCGCGCGGAUUCUAAUUUUUGUUAAAACCAGCCUUGCCAAACGACGUCGUUUGGUCAAGGCUCAGUCAAAUUUUUUUUUAAUUGACCUGGCCUCAAAACGACGUCGUUUUGGGCCUGUUUUAAAAAUUUAAAAAAAAAAAAAAACUGCACAAAACAGAACAGCAACACAUGCUUCGACAGAACAGAACCAAAGCCAUUUCCACAGCCCCUCUUCUCCCACCAUCUGAAACCCUAACCUCCCCAACCUCCCAAUCUUCGAAACUUUUACACUAAGCCCCCUUGGCCACAUAAUCCUGGAUCCGCCACUGCUCCCAUCCUUCCUUCUUAUCCUCUUCCCAAUCUCAUCCUCACUCCCAUUCUCACUCUCAUUUUCCUCUAUACUCUAGCACAAAAAAUGAAAACUAAAAACUAAAAUUGAAAUGGUUAUCAAACAGGCCCUUAGAAAAUAGACUUCUAUAGUGGAAUGGAAUUGAUCUUUCCCAACAAAUCAAUCGUAUUUCAGAAUAAAAACCCAUUCUUACACAUUAAUAAAACAUAAUCCAAGCAAAACCUCAACGUCCAGAACCAUUCAUUCAAGCAUCGGUUUAAUAUCAAAACUUGCAUCACAGAAUCAAAUGUAGGAAGGAAAAAAAAUUGAAGAAGCAGACCAAGAAAUAGCUCAAGUACCUCGUUCUUUCCUUCAAAGGUGAAGGCUUAACCCAAGACUUGGCAGAUGGGUCUGGCCGUCAGCGAGAGUGUGAAGAUGGAGUGAGAAGAUAGAUAAAAGAGAUAAAGGAGAGCGAGAAAGACAAAGCUUUUAACAUCGAACUUCGGUUUUUGGGUGAAGUUAAAUCAGAACAAAAGCUAGGACAAGCUAGCCCACAGGUUGCUUCUAGCUAAGCCACCAACUUUACUAAAAUCCAGCCCAAACCCAAAAAUGGACUGGCUUUAAAACCCCUCCCAAAUCCAGCUUGAGCAUUCAUAAUUCAAAAAUGAGGAACUUACUCAACCAAGCAGUUAACCAUAACAAGUUGUCAAGACAAAGCAAAAAAGGAAAGGUAAAGAAGUCUAUUGAUGCAGCAAUAAUACUUUAGUAAAUUUAGGUUUUACCCAUAAAAAAACUUUCACUUUUGGAAAAAGCCAAAGCUUUUUGAAAAAAGACAGAAUAACCUCUCAACUUUCAAACCAAAGACAUGCAAAUGUAAAGGAUUUCUUAAGAAAUCAAAAAAUAAAUAAGGGCAAUUUUGUCCAUUUUUGCUUGUUUUAAAAAUUUUCUCUCUCCUUUGGGCUUUUCCAAAGUCUCCCUAAUACUUUACCAUGUGCCAAGAGAGAAAGCAAAUGAUGAAGGACAUAGCACAUCAUUAUUCUUACAAGUAGUUUUGAUUAUUUAUUUUUGCCCAAGCCCAAGCCCAAGCCCAAGGUACAGAAAUUCAUACAUACUAACGUUCACAUGACAUGACUAAGCGAAAAACAUUGUAUGCACCGGCUGUAUGCAAAAAUACAUCUGCCCUAAAAUGGGGUACCAAACUCGAGGACCUUCUUCCAAGAUGGUCUGUUGCUAAUAUCAUUCCACCAAGCAGAGACAUGCUUUCUGUCCUUUAUCAGAUACUCCUUCCCCAAAAGAGUCACCAUAUACUGAGUAAAUGGAAGGUGGCUAAGAUCAGCAAGGCUGAAGAAAUCACCAGCUAAGUACUUGCUCUUUGACAGCCUCUCCUCAUAAAUGUCCAACACCUUCCCUAGCUUUUCUUCACUCUCUUGAAUGACCUUGGGAUCUGAAGGAAAACCCAAUGCUGAGGCAAACAAAAUGUGAAGGACUAAGUUGUUGAGUGGUGGGUGGAAGUUGUGUGCUUCAACCUCUAGCCAUUGCUCAACUAGCCCUCUUUCCUCAAUUGUCUUCCCUAGCAAAGCAGUCCCUUGAGACUUGUAUUUUUCGGCAUAGUACCUUAUGAUUGCGCGUGAUUCUGCGGAUUAAAGACAGUUUUAUCAAAGAACUUGUUAGAUCAUUAUGUUGAUGAUGCUGAUAAGAAACCAGUGAACACUAUUGUCAAAGAAAAAAAUUUCAAAACUUUCUUACUUCCCAAACAGUACAAUCCCAAUUUGAUGCUCUACAGAGAUUCAAAUGAUGAAUUGAAGCAAACCCACAAAAUGGUAUGCUAAAAGAUGAAGAAAAAUGAAAUGUAACGCUAACUUUGAUCCCAAAAUUAAAGAUUUAGCAUACCAUAUAAAGUAUAAUCCCCAUCUUGAAUGAGAGGAACUGUUCCAAAGGGCUACAUUUAAAGACAAAAGCAAUACAAAUUAAGAUCAACCGUCAUAUAUACAGAUGAUAAAUAUGAUUUCCAAAGAGAUGAUGAGCAGAAACAAUCACAAAAGAUUGAAUUAAUAGCAAAAGGUGACCUGCAAUUUGAGAAAUUCAGGGUGUUUGUGCUCUCCCUUGAAGAGAUCAAUGGGAAUGGUCUCAAAGUCGACCUCUUUCUCAACAAGACACACCAGCACACGCUUCGGGGAAGCAUAGGCAGCGCCAUACACCUUUACCACCAUUCUUACUGUUUCAGCGAGAAACCAAGUAUUUAGAUCUCGGUCUGCAGAGUACCCUAGAUUUUGGUUUCUUAGUUCUUAUAGUAGUUAAGGUGUGAUAUGCUCAUGCUUUAAGGUGUGAUAUGCUCAUGCCUAGUGGUCCAAUAAUUGCCCUCUGCACUCCAAAACAGAUAAACUCAUAAGAUUUUUUGCGCACUCAGAUUUUUUGUUCUUUUCUUUUUUGAAGGCUGUGAGUAGCUAGUGAGUAGUAGGUAGGCGGUCACAUGAAGAUAAUUCUUUAACAGGUAAAAGACAAUUAUGAGUGGAUACUGCUUGUCCCCUCCGAAAUGAGAUAAUUCAUUAAAAACACAAAACAAAAACAAAAAUUAUACACACAUCACAUUAUACACGCGUCACAUUAUUGACAAGAAUAUAUAGACUCUAUUUAUAUAGUAAGGAGGAAAAUAUUUUUCAUUAUGGUAGCCUUUGACAUCAUAGUUCUAUUUAGGCUGCUGUGCAUUGCGUGAGCAAUUAAAAAAAGUGCCAAAGGGGUUCAGAAUGCAUGUGCCACCAUGCCAUUCAUGCACUCAAGUGAGGUUCUGAAAUUGUAUGAGAACAAUGCGUUUUGUAUGCUCCAAAUCAAAUGUAGCAUGAAAACAUUGUGUUUUGUAUUCACCAACCCAAAUAGCAUGAAAACAAUGUGCUACUGAACCAAAUAUUUUUGGAUUCUGAUUGAAUAUCUUGUAUGGGUAGCUUGGGCACAUUCACUAAUACGAGAUGCCAAAGUUCAAAUGAGUGAUAUGUAUGGGCCUCUCAACCGUCUUCAAUAGUCUAAAUUAUGAUAAAUGACAAUCAAACUUGCAUGGGAAUAGAAGCACUACUUUGAUCAAUGAGCCUCGCUCAUAUCUAUAAUCUACAAUUUAUUUUUUUAGGUAAUUACGAGGGAAUAACUCAUAAAAAUCCAUUGUAAAUUUGUUCAAUUUGUUAGAGGAAAAAAAAGGGACAAAAAAAAGGAGAGAGAUAUUUUUAAAAGAAUUCAAAAUGGACAAAAAUACCCUUAUUUAUUUAUGGAUUUCUUAAGAAAUCCUCUACAUGUGCAUGUCUUUGGUUUGAAAAUUGAGGAGUUUUUUUGUCUUUUUAAAAAAAAAAUUUAUUUUUUUCAAAAAUAAAAGAUUUUUUUGUGGCUAAAACCUAAAUUUAUUAAAAGGUUGAUAAAUCAGUUGCAAAGAUCUAUGAUCUUUUUGCAGGCUAUUCAAAGACAGAAACCAGUUUAGGCCCAAACUGACAGAUUGCUUCUCAGUGCUCAGUAGUCAGUAGUAAGCCACCAACCUUUCUAAAGUCCAGGCUCAACCCAAAAAUAUGAAUUAUACCAAGCCAUUAAUCAUGCACUCAAAUUACUCACCACACCCAUACCUUAAUCUAAAUAUUGGUUCAAAAACCUACCAUUGUCUAACAAAAAGCUUGUAGUUCAAGUGAUUAAGAGUAACUCCACCCAUUUGCCUUUAGCCAUGGCAAAGAGGGAGGUAGGGCAGUCACUAUUCACAUGAAUAGUGAUUGCCCUUGCAAAUAGUAUUUUGUGUUUCCACCUAUUGCCAUGGCUAAGGGCAAUUACUAUUCAUUUUUUUGUUUUUUCACAACUUUUUUUUACUUAAAUAAUUAAUUUGGAUAAUAUUUUCGGAUAAGAUUUUUGGGUUCCUACGUGUCAAUACUAUUCAUAUCGGAUAAGAUUUUAUUUUAUUAGUUGUAUUGGUUGGUAUUUAUAGAAAAAAAAAAGUAUGAGGAUUUUAUGUUAAAAGUGAAGAGUAUUGGUUGGUAUUUAUAGACACGGGCGGACCCAUAAUUUUUUUAGUGGAGGUGCAAUAUUGGCUAAGUAUGAAAAAUGGUUUUUCGGAAUAAUCAUUUUCUCAAGAUAAUUUUUGGCGGCUUUUAUUCCUUACACAUCAAAUAAGAAAACUUGAUUUUAUGGGAUUUUAAUAUGAAGUAUAUAUUGACUUAAUGAGCCAUCAUUUUUAGCCUAAAUUGUAUUUUGCACUAAAACCGAUUUUUCAUAUUUUGAUUUGGUGGGAAUUUGAUUUUCUAGUAUUUUUAUUUGAAUCCAAAUGGGGGGUACUUCCUUAUUUACAUUGUAAACUUAAGUAAAUGGAGUAAUAUAAAAAUAAAUGAAUGUAAACUUGUUGAAAAUGGAAAUAAGGUAUAGAGAGGAAAAUGUUGAGUAUAAAGAGUGAAUAAUGGUAGAAGUAAAAGAAAAUGUAAGAGGAUUGGUAUUGAAAGGUAUUUAUAGAAGAAAAAAUCUGACUUUUUAAGAAUUUUUUUUUAAAAAAAUUUAAUACUGGGCGAUGACGUCACGCUGACGCAAGCCGUGACGUCAUCAGCCUGGGUUUCGAAUGCGGGCUGAACUGGCCCUCGGGCCAGCCCGAGUUGGUGGGUCCCACACGCAACCCGGGCCUGGGCUCCCCGCUGGAACGAAUUUUUUUUUCGGCCCCCCCCCCAGCCUUGGGCUCGGUCUCUCCGGUGAAACCGCUCUAAGAGCAUUUAUCUCUACACUUGAGGUCCUAAGUUCGAUUUUCCUUCCCCAAUAAUGCUUGUAUCCAAAAAUUAAAAAAUUAAAAAAGUUUGGAUUAUACAAGAGGAGAAAUAACUACUGCCUUUAACAAACAAAACCUUUCCAACUCCAUCAUAUUAAUCCACUUGUACACCCGGAAUGGAUUACAGAUCCAGCAAGAAUGCUUUUUUAAGUCCUAAGAGAGAGCAAAUUACAAGGGGCGGAGCUUCUUAUUCCCACAAGUACUUUUGAUUAUUUAUUUUGGCCAAAGCCCCAAGGCAAAAGAAUUCUUGUGUACAACCAGUGAAUCCAACGUUCCUCCAACAAUAAUUCCCUCACAUGUCGUUCACGUGACAAAUUAUUACGAUACACAUUGUAUACACUGGUUGCAUGCAAAAAUUUCUUCCCAUACCUUAAAAUGGGGCACCAAACUGCUGGAGGACCUUCUUCCAAGAAGGUCUGUUGCUAAUAUCAUCCCACCAAGCAGAGACAUGCUUUCUGUCCUUUAUCAUAUACUCCUUCUCCAUACUAUUUGCCAAGUAGUAGGUGAAUGGAAGGUGGCUAAGAUCAGCAAGGCUGAAAAAAUCACCAGCCAAAUACUUGCUCUUCGACAGCCUCUCCUCGUAAACGUCCAACACCUUGCCAAGCUUUUCUUCACUCUCCUGAAUGAUCUUCGGGUCCGAAGGAAGACCCAAUUCUGGGGCAA